ACACCAUAAUAUUCAAAAUUAUAUUUCGAGAAAAUUAUUCUUUAUUCAUAAAAGUUGGGGUCUUACAAUGUGUCUUGGUCAAUUCGCAAGUAACUUAUUGUCACACUGUCCACUACAGAAGCAGAAUUUGUUGCAGCAGCUUCUUGCACUUGCUAGGCUGUAUGGUUACGAAGGAUGUUGGAGCGGCUUGAUCAAGCUCAAAGUGACACUGAUUUAUUGCGACAAUAGCUCAACAAUCAAGCUUUC
rnacentral:lncRNA from 1 species